GGAGGUGGAUCCGUCCCGGUGGGCGGCGCGGUCUUCAAAACCGUUGUGAGGGGUGAAGAGCUUCUCGGGUAGGUUCGACUCCUACGCACCUCCGCCA
rnacentral:tRNA from 1 species